rnacentral:rRNA from 1 species
CCUACGGGCGGCAGCAGUGAGGAAUAUUGGUCACUGGACGAGAGUCUGAACCAGCCAAGUAGCGUGAAGGAUGACUGCCCUAUGGGUUGUAAACUUCUUUUAUAUGGGAAUAAAAUGUUCCACGUGUGGGAUUUUGUAUGUACCAUAUGAAUAAGGAUCGGCUAACUCCGUGCCAGCAGCCGCGGUAAUACGGAGGAUCCGAGCGUUAUCCGGAUUUAUUGGGGUUAAAGGGAGCGUAGGUGGAUUGUUAAGUCAGUUGUGAAAGUUUGCGGCUCAACCGUAAAAUUGCAGUUGAAACUGGCAGUCUUGAGUACAGUAGAGGUGGGCGGAAUUCGUGGUGUAGCGGUGAAAGGCUUAGAUAUCACGAAGAACGCCGAUUGCGAAGGCAGCUCACUGGACUGCAACUGACACUGAGGCUCGAAAGUGUGGGUAUCAAACAGGAUUAGAUACCCGGGUAGUC